CCUGCUCUGGAUGGUUAUGCAGUCUUGGAGGGGAAACCUUUAAAGCAAUGAUGAUUAUCUUUCACAUUACUCAAUAUCCCGGGACUCAAAUGUUGAGAUUCGUUUGAGGCUACAAGCUGGACAGUGAGUAUUAAACCCAAAAUGGUGCUAACUUUGUUUACGCAAUUAGUUUAUACAUAAUAACAAUGCUAUUUUUGCAGGUACACUACAUUUGAUCAGCAAUUUGGUAUUGAUGAAACUGCAAUGUUUGAUGAAGUCACAUUGCCUACUAUACUGAUAAAACAAGGUGUAGCAGUUCCAACUACAUCUGUGAAAUUCUUUUCAUAUUUGUCUACUUGCUAUUUACAUAAGAUAUUGAAAUGUGUCACUGGGAUGCACCGUGUGGGAUGAGCUUCAAU
rnacentral:lncRNA from 1 species